UAACCUUAUUGAAAUUGAUUUAAACAUUUCAAGCUGAUUUGGGGUAAAUUUAUUGACCUAAUCCUUCCUCUUCCUCCUCUCCACCGUGUUCAUCUUCUUUGUACCGUCGUGCUCCGUCCUGCCGUGGCGGCCUGAACGAGACCUCAUCCUUCGUCAACCCCAGCGUCAGUUGUGUGCUUGAGUUCUCGUCGCCGUCCUUUCAUCUACGUCUUUCUCGUCCGUGUUCUUCCUCUUCUCUAUUGUGCGGUCGUGCUUCGUCAGGGCCCUUGUAAACAGUUGCUUUCUUUGAAGGGGAUUGCGUUGUGUGUUUUCUGCUUCAAAAUUUGGUGGAUGACAUAGUGAAUGGACAAUUGGACACUGAAGUCCCAUUAACACAAUUCUUUCUUAUUGAAGCACAUGAUGCUUCUGAAUUCUGAUAUUGAUGAAGAGAUUAAAAAUAAAGACCGACCAAGCUGCUAGCGCCUAAGCAGUUUUCUUACCUAUUAUGGAAGGAGAUUUUACACUUUGUUUGUUAGGGUAGAGAUAGUGAAGAGAUAGAUAGGGAAGAGAUGAAGAAUCUCUCUUGUUUGGUGAGUGGGAGGAGGGAGAUAGAGGGGAGAAAAAGCGGUGGGUGGUCUCUUCAAAUUGGAGAGCUGGGUAGGUGCUUGGUUCUUAUUUUAUUAUUCAAAUUUUUGUAAGUCUGGCGGUCUUAAACCGCCAGAAAUUGCUAUAUAGACGACAGAUGUCACUAAUAAUUGCAUCACAUUUUUUAUCAUUAACCAACUCCCUGGCGAUUUGAAACGCCAGAAGGGUGUCGGAAAACGCCAUAAAUGUACCAAAACAAAAUAAAAAUUAUUUUUAAAUAAAAAAUGUAUAUCUGUUUCUUCUC